UCCACUAAGAAAAAAAACACAAAAGAAUUAUAAGUCUUUUAAGGCUUUCUUUUUAUCAACUAAAACUUCAUUGCAUUGAGAGGGCAAGACCCAAACAAGAAACAAAGAAAAAAAAUAAGCCCAGCCAAAUUGGACUAAGCAAAGCAUAACAACAAACGCAAAAUAGAACAAUUAGGCAAACUGUCCCAAGAUACAAUUACGUAACCCUAACAAAUAAAUGGAAAAGCACGCUGCUAGUGCUUUAAGAACACCCCUGUGGGAGAGGAUCCUCCAACGAGCAAUUCCAAAGAGAAUAUAAUUGUUGUCAUGCUUCUGCACUUUGGAUUAACUCCAAUGUGGAAGAUUGACAAUUAUUAAACCAUGCAUUGAGAUGUAAAUAAAGGAGGGGGAAGAUCAUCCCCCAAAGCUAAAAGCAAAACUUCUCCAACGCCAUUUUUACCAUAAAUCAGAGACUGGACAACUUCACUGCCAAUAAAGGCGAAUAUAAUGAUGCCGCUAAAAAUGCAAAGUUAAUCCCUUGCUUCUAGGACUUUUGGAAGAAGCAGAUACGGAAGCCACUUAAGGAGUUGGAGGCAAACUAGAGAUCUUUGAUAUACAACCCAAUAAAAGAACAUCAAGCAUCCAAAAUCACAGGACAUUCCUUACUUAGAGGCACCAACAUAGAAGAAAACAUAGCCUACGUAGAUGCACUGGGAGAAUAUAUAUAAAC
rnacentral:lncRNA from 1 species